rnacentral:siRNA from 1 species
UCCCAAGUGUCUACCGAGUUGAUA